CUUUUGUCUGCUGUGGAUUGAGCCCCAUGUGCUGGUCAACCGUGACAUCAAGGCAGAGGUGGCACAACGAGUUAAAGAAUUGAUCCUGAAAGAUGCUGCAGAGACGGAGCAACCUGUGCCUGUGCCGGUGCCUGCUGAAGAAGAACUAGAGGACAUGGAAGGAGAAGGGCUGUUUGCUGCAUACCAUAAGAGGCAGAAAAUGGAUGUUGGGACCCCACCAGCAGUACAGCUAAGUCACUACAUUGACAUGGCAGAAGGACAGAAUGCCCUUUUGUUCUGGGCACUGAACAGUAAGACUCUUCCUUCACUCUUUCAAGUAGCCAUCCGAGUCUUGGCAGUGCCUGCUUCUAGUGCUCCAGUGGAGCGAGUUUUCAGCCAUGGUGGCAUCAUUCUGCGUCCCCAUCAUGCACAAAUGACUGACAGACUUUUGGCCAAUUUGAUCUUUUGCAAAUGCAAUGCAGUGUAGGGGCCUCCCUCCACCUGUCCACAGCACGCAUGCGCACACACACUCACUCUCUGCUCAUCACCUGUCCACACAGCUCUCUCUCUCUCAUACACACCAGUCUCUAUGGAGGCAUUCCAAUUAUAUUAUCAGGUUGGUCCAGUUUUUCAGAAGUGAUAAUUUUGAGGAGUGAGGAUUUUAUUGAUGACAUGUUUAAAAAAGUUUAGGCUAAAAGAACCCAUGUCUAUUUGAAAGUUAAACUGUUUUGCAAUAUGAGGUCAAUGCAAUACAGGACUGAAGCUGCUGUGCAUUGUUCUAGUGCAAUAUGCUGUUGAAAUAAGAGCAUUUUUUGUGAAAAUUAAAUUUUCUGUUUUUUACUGUGUUUGAUUAAUGUCAUUGUAUAAAAAGAGGUUUAAAUAAAUACAAAUCUUACAGACA